AUUGAACGCUGGCGGAAUGCUUUACGCAUGCAAUUCGAACGGCAGCACGGACUUCGGUCUGGUGGCGAGUGGCGAACGGGUGAGUAAUGUAUCGGAACGUGCCCAGUCGUGGGGGAUAACGUAGUGAAAAUUACGCUAAUACCGCAUACGAGCUAUGGAUGAAAGCGGGGGAUCGCAAGACCUCGCGCGAUUGGAGCGGUCGAUAUCAGAUUAGGUAGUUGGUGGGGUAAAGGCCCACCAAGCCAACGAUCUGUAGCUGGUCUGAGAGGACGACCAGCCACACUGGAACUGAGACACGGUCCAGACUCCUACGGGAGGCAGCAGUGGGGAAUUUUGGACAAUGGGCGAAAGCCUGAUCCAGCCAUUCCGCGUGCAGGAUGAAGGCCCUCGGGUUGUAAACUGCUUUUGUACAGAACGAAAAGGUUUCUACUAAUACUAGGAGCUCAUGACGGUACUGUAAGAAUAAGCACCGGCUAACUACGUGCCAGCCGCCGCGGUAA
rnacentral:rRNA from 1 species